rfam:Xenorhabdus cabanillasii JM26, WGS project CBXE01000000 data, contig: XENCA_2134_Contig_99
AUAUGCAUGACAUUGCUCACAUUGCUUCCAGUAUUUUUAUUAUUAGCCAGCUCGGGUGCUGGCUAUUUUUU